rnacentral:misc_RNA from 1 species
GUGCGCCGUCCGCACCCACCUGACGACUGCUCGCUACGUUUGUCAGCC